rnacentral:rRNA from 1 species
UACGGGGGGGGUAAGCGUUGUUCGGAAUUACUGGGCGUAAAGGGCUCGUAGGCGGCCAACUAAGUCAGACGUGAAAUCCCUCAGCUUAACUGGGGAACUGCGUCUGAUACUGGAUGGCUUGGAUUCGGGAGAGGAAUGCGGAAUUCCAGGUGUAGCGGUGAAAUGCGUAGAGAUCCGGAAGAACACCGGUGGCGAAAGCGGUUCACUGGCCCGACACUGACACUGAGGUGCGAAAGCUAGGGUAGCAAACGGG